GAGUUUGAUCCUGGCUCAGAUUGAACGCUGGCGGCAGGCUUAACACAUGCAAGUCGAACGGUAACAUGAGUGCUUGCACUUGAUGACGAGUGGCGGACGGGUGAGUAAAGUAUGGGGAUCUGCCGAAUGGAGGGGGACAACAGUUGGAAACGACUGCUAAUACCGCAUAAAGUUGAGAGACCAAAGCAUGGGACCUUCGGGCCAUGCGCCAUUUGAUGAACCCAUAUGGGAUUAGCUGGUUGGUAGGGUAAUGGCUUACCAAGGCGACGAUCUCUAGCUGGUCUGAGAGGAUGACCAGCCACACUGGAACUGAGACACGGUCCAGACUCCUACGGGAGGCAGCAGUGGGGAAUAUUGCACAAUGGGGGGAACCCUGAUGCAGCCAUGCCGCGUGUAUGAAGAAGGCCUUCGGGUUGUAAAGUACUUUCGGUAAUGAGGAAGGUGGUGUAUCUAAUAGGUGCAUCAAUUGACGUUAAUUACAGAAGAAGCACCGGCUAACUCCGUGCCAGCAGCCGCGGUAAUACGGAGGGUGCGAGCGUUAAUCGGAAUGACUGGGCGUAAAGGGCAUGUAGGCGGAUAAUUAAGUUAGGUGUGAAAGCCCUGGGCUCAACCUAGGAAUUGCACUUAAAACUGGUUAACUAGAGUAUUGUAGAGGAAGGUAGAAUUCCACGUGUAGCGGUGAAAUGCGUAGAGAUGUGGAGGAAUACCGGUGGCGAAGGCGGCCUUCUGGACAGAUACUGACGCUGAGAUGCGAAAGCGUGGGGAGCAAACAGGAUUAGAUACCCUGGUAGUCCACGCUGUAACCGAUGUCGAUUUGGAGUUUGUUGCCUAGAGUGAUGGGCUCCGAAGCUAACGCGAUAAAUCGACCGCCUGGGGAGUACGGCCGCAAGGUUAAAACUCAAAUGAAUUGACGGGGGCCCGCACAAGCGGUGGAGCAUGUGGUUUAAUUGGAUGCAACGCGAAGAACCUUACCUGGUCUUGACAUCCACAGAAUCUUGCAGAGAUGCGAGAGUGCCUUCGGGAACUGUGAGACAGGUGCUGCAUGGCUGUCGUCAGCUCGUGUUGUGAAAUGUUGGGUUAAGUCCCGCAACGAGCGCAACCCUUAUCCUUUGUUGCCAUCGGUUCGGCCGGGAACUCAAAGGAGACUGCCGUUGAUAAAGCGGAGGAAGGUGGGGACGACGUCAAGUCAUCAUGGCCCUUACGACCAGGGCUACACACGUGCUACAAUGGCGUAUACAAAGGGAGGCGA
rnacentral:rRNA from 1 species